GGGGCUCCCGCCGGCCAAUAGCAGGGCGCUCGGCCGGCCGCGGCGCGGCGUUGCUGGGUGACUGCAGGGUCCGGGCGCUGCGGCAGUUGCGGCUCGACUCGGUCUCGCGGCCGCUGCCAUGGCUUACCCCGGCUUCGGAGGGUAUGGAGGUUACGGUGGUCAGAUGCCUGGAAUGCCAAUGGCAAUAGGACAGCCAAUGCCAGGAGCAGUACCAAAUAUGCCUUAUGGUGCGUACUCUGGAUAUUCUGCAUAUCCUGGUACUUACUCUGCUGCUGCUGACCCCAUGUGGACUUACUUCAGUUCAAUUGCUGGACAGGAUGGAAAAGUGGAUGCUGAAGAACUACAGAGAUGUCUACUGCAGUCUGGAAUCAGUGGGACCUAUUCUCCAUUCACUCUGGAAACUUGCAGAGUUAUGAUAUCCAUGCUGGAUAGAGAUUAUACAGGAAAAAUGGGAUUUAAUGAAUUUAAAGAGCUCUGGGCAGCUCUCAAUGCCUGGAAGCAAAACUUCAUGAUGAUUGAUAGAGAUCGAAGUGGGACUGUGGAACUUCAUGAAUUAACUCAAGUCAUUGCAGCUAUGGGUUACAGGUUGAGUCCACAAACACUGACUGCUAUUGUAAAACGUUACAGCAAAAAUGGCAGAAUCUUUUUUGAUGACUAUGUAGCAUGCUGUGUGAAGCUACGGGCAUUGACAGAUUUCUUCCGGAGAAGAGACAACAUGCAACAGGGGUUUGUGAAUUUUGUAUAUGAUGAUGUAAGUAUUAGCUGUUGCAAUGCGCCACAUGGAUUUGAUAAGGAUUUUGUUUAAAAAUCAUGAACUACAGCAGUGUAAGCAUUUGAAAUCUGAACUUCCAUUAACCUUUUACAGUUUCUCAAGAAGAAAAUUCAGAUAAAGUUCUUGCAGUGCAUUAUGGCAAUCUGAGUGCUGAACUGCUGGAGGAAAAAAGGAUCGCCAGCCUGUUAGAGUUUCGGUUUAGAAGAAGUAAGCUGAACCUGCUGUGAAUGGAAGCUAUUGCAGAGUUUUGCAUCUUUCUGCCUGAUAAGGCAUCCACUUUGAUACUUUGGGGUUUUGUGUGUGUGUGGGGUUUUUUGGUUGUUUUUGUUUUUGUUUUUUUUUUUGAGUGCACAGUUCAGACCAAUAAAUAUUUUUUACGUUUUUAGUAUUUUAGAAGCAUGUUUCUUUUAUAUGUACCUGUGUAGUUCCACACAAGUAAAUUUCUGUGUUAAGCUCCUGAGCUUAUUAAAGAAUAAAGCUUAUGUUAGAAAUAUAGGCCAUUUUUUCUACAUGGUUAGCUAACUUACACAAGUAGAAUAUCAGAUAGCCUAAAAUUUAAUCUGAUAUAGGUAUUCUUCAUCAGUGGUAGUAUACUGUCUAAGGUGGCAUACUCUGAAGAGCUGUGGGGGUUUGGACAAACUAGAUCAACAGAUUUCAUUUAAAAAGCAAAAUAUUCUAGGUGAUAUUUUCACAUUCCCCCAGCUUGCUGCAGUUCAGUGUCGUUUUUCUUUUCUUUUUUGUGAGGCAAGCUAUUUGUGUGUGUAUGGAUCAGAUAAAACUAUUCAAGUACAGCUGUAGCUACCUUCAGCUGACUCUUUGUCCACCUAAGUGCUUCUCCCCAAGGAAAUCUGGAUUUUUGUCAGAGUUUGGCUUAUCUCAGAAGCUUUCAAUGACUGUUCAUCUGGAUCAGUAAAAUCAUUGGCUGAAUAGACCUUACAUGGUAAACCUGCUCCAUGUUUUUCUCUAAAUUCUCUUAAACAAAAUAAUUUGGAGGAACAGAAGUGUCGAGCUUGACGAUAGAUACAGCACUCUUAAUCAGAAUCAUUUGUGAAAAUGUGUGGGCCUCAAUGGCGAACAAUUAUCGGUUUUAGUGCUCAGAUUUUGUGAUUGGAGCUACCUUUUGAAUUCCUGCAUCAGUGAACUUGAAGGACUAGACAUGGAUAUAACCUCUAAUUGUACUGGAAGGAUGGAGCUUAAUAUGAUGUACUGAGAUUGCUGUGUGCAUAGGAAUUUUUGAGAAGACCUGAUCUCAUAGCUCUUUUUUUGUGUGUUUGUGUAAUUCAAGCUAAAAAGUGGUGUCCUAUGUAGUCCUGUGCUUUUUACACUUACUCCCAUAAUGUUACUAAAUGUAAUUCAGGAAUAACUUUGCUCAAUAUUUUUGAUACUGAGAUGUGUUCAACUUUUUGGAUCCCUGUUAGCAGUGUUUGCAUUAUAGUAACUAAAGUCAGUCACAAAUGAAAUAUUCACAUCUUCUUGGUCAUGACUGAAAUAAGUAUGAUACAUUUAUUUGUGUAUAUUUAGGCUUCUUGCAAAUAUGUUUUCAUGGUGAUGUAAAGUACUGAAUAAUAUGCUGAGUGUACAAGUGCUUUUAUUUGUACAGUAAACAAUUUUCCAAGUCAUCCUGGAGAUUUUUUCUGGAAGCAAAAUAUUCCAGUAGUGUCAUUAACUGUAUUAUACAAAAACCUGUUAUAUGAACAGGAUUUGCUGCAGUUCAUAGUAGUUAAGUAUUUUAUCUAGAUCGAGUUAUCUAAACUUUCUUUGUAUUUCCAACUUUACAAUAUUGUGACGUUUUAGUGUAUAUAAAAUGUAAAUAAUGCAUAAAAGGGGCAAAUCUCUCCUGUGGGAGGCUUUAAUUUGGUCCACCUCAUUUCCAUUCCAAAGAGAAUAGCCAUAUUCUGCAUUCAUUAAUAAUCAAUGAACUUCCCAAGAGGGCAUUAAAAAAACAAGUAGCUAGAUGAAGAAAAAUAUUUUUUCAUAAAUAAUGCAGUUCCAUCUACUACUCAUACAUAGAUGUACAGUGAGGAGAAAGUAAACUUGUCACAGCGAUACCUUCAUGCAAUUACAAGGACCAGGACAUGCUCCUUUAAUAUCAUUGAUAAAACUCAGUGUGAUGACUUACAUAUGUGGUCUAUUCUGUGAUUUUUUUUUUUUUUUUCCUAUAAGCAAUUUGCUGGUUAACUUCUGCUAUUUUCUUUUCAAGCCUAGAAGAAAAUUGACAUGAAGAGUAGGCAGGUAUAUAAUUGACUCAUGGACCACUGAUAUAAUUAAGUACAUAUUCUUCCCAGUAAAAAGGAAUUUUAGAUUCAGCAUAAACAUGUUACAGGUCAUUCUGCAUGCUCUUUGUAUUCCAUCUAGGUAAGAAACUACUUAUUGAUUGUGUUACUAUUUAUUAAUUCAGCUCUUGAAAGUGUGCUAAUUGCUGCAUACUGGGUCUGUCUCAAAUCUGAAUCAGUCUUACAAUUUACUAGUAUUUUCAUUAAAAUUUGACUUUAAAUUUGGAA